AGGGAAUAUUGGUUAAUGGGCGAAAGCCUGACCCAGCAACGCCGCGUGCGCGAUGAAGGCCUUCGGGUUGUAAAGCGCUUUUAAGUGGGAUGAGGAAGGACAGUACCACUAGAAUAAGUCUCGGCUAACUACGUGCCAGCAGCCGCGGUAACACGUAGGAGACGAGCGUUAUCCGGAUUUACUGGGUGUAAAGCGCGUGCAGGCGGCUUGGAAAGUUGGAUGUGAAAGCUCCUGGCUUAACUGGGAGAGGUCGUUCAAAACUACCAGACUAGAGUACAGCAGAGGGGAGUGGAAUUCCGAGUGUAGCGGUAAAAUGCAUAGAUAUUCGGAAGAACACCAGUGGCGAAGGCGGCUCCCUGGGCUGAAACUGACGCUCAGACGCGAAAGCUAGGGUAGCGAACG
rnacentral:rRNA from 1 species